UACGAAGGGGGCUAGCGUUGCUCGGAAUCACUGGGCGUAAAGGGUGCGUAGGCGGGUCUUUAAGUCAGGGGUGAAAUCCUGGAGCUCAACUCCAGAACUGCCUUUGAUACUGAGGAUCUCGAGUACGGGAGAGGUGAGUGGAACUGCGAGUGUAGAGGUGAAAUUCGUAGAUAUUCGCAAGAACACCAGUGGCGAAGGCGGCUCACUGGCCCGUUACUGACGCUGAGGCACGAAAGCGUGGGGAGCAAACAGG
rnacentral:rRNA from 1 species